rnacentral:rRNA from 1 species
AGAGUUUGAUCCUGGCUCAGGACGAACGCUGGCGGCGUGCCUAACACAUGCAAGUCGAGCGAAGUUUUCAAAGUAGAUUUCUUCGGAUUGAAACUUUGAUUAUCUUAGCGGCGGACGGGUGAGUAACGCGUGAGAAACCUGCCUUUCACAAAGGGAUAGCCUCGGGAAACUGGGAUUAAUACCUUAUGACACUAAUCUUUCACAUGAAGGAUUAGUUAAAGCGUAAAGCGGUGAGAGAUGGUCUCGCGUCCCAUUAGCUAGUUGGUGAGGUAAUAGCUCACCAAGGCGACGAUGGGUAGCCGGCCUGAGAGGGUGAACGGCCACACUGGAACUGAGACACGGUCCAGACUCCUACGGGAGGCAGCAGUGGGGAAUAUUGCACAAUGGAGGAAACUCUGAUGCAGCGACGCCGCGUGAACGAUGAAGGCUUUCGGGUCGUAAAGUUCUGUCCUAAGGGACGAUAAUGACGGUACCUUAGGAGGAAGCCCCGGCUAACUACGUGCCAGCAGCCGCGGUAAUACGUAGGGGGCAAGCGUUGUCCGGAUUUAUUGGGCGUAAAGGGUGCGUAGGCGGCCUUUUAAGUCAGAUGUGAAAGGUCACGGCUCAACCGUGGUAAGCAUUUGAAACUGAAAGGCUUGAGUCAAGGAGAGGAAAGUGGAAUUCCUAGUGUAGCGGUGAAAUGCGUAGAUAUUAGGAGGAAUACCAGUGGCGAAAGGCGACUUUCUGGACUUGUACUGACGCUGAGGCACGAAAGCGUGGGGA